rnacentral:rRNA from 1 species
GGGUUGUAAACCGCUGUCAGUUGGGAGGAAAUACUAGGGGGUUAUCCCCUUAGUUUGACCGAUCUUCAGAGGAAGGACGGGCUAAGUUCGUGCCAGCAGCCGCGGUAAGACGAACCGUCCAAACGUUAUUCGGUAUCACUGGGCUUAAAGCGUACGUAGGCGGCCUAGCAGGUGGGGUGUGAAAUCCCUCGGCUCAACCGAGGAACUGCGCUCCAAACCGUUAGGCUUGAGGGAGACAGGGGUGAUGGGAACUG